UGGGGAAUAUUGCACAAUGGGCGCAAGCCUGAUGCAGCCAUGCCGCGUGUGUGAAGAAGGCCUUCGGGUUGUAAAGCACUUUCAGCGAGGAGGAAGGUGGUGAGCUUAAUACGCUCAUCAAUUGACGUUACUCGCAGAAGAAGCACCGGCUAACUCCGUGCCAGCAGCCGCGGUAAUACGGAGGAUGCAAGCGUUAAUCGGAAUUACUGGGCGUAAAGCGCACGCAGGCGGUUUGUUAAGUCAGAUGUGAAAUCCCCGGGCUCAACCUGGGAACUGCAUUUGAAACUGGCAAGCUAGAGUCUCGUAGAGGGGGGUAGAAUUCCAGGUGUAGCGGUGAAAUGCGUAGAGAUCUGGAGGAAUACCGGUGGCGAAGGCGGCCCCCUGGACGAAGACUGACGCUCAGGUGCGAAAGCGUGGGGCAGCAAACAGGAUUAGAUACCCUGGUAGUCCACGCUGUAAACGAUGUCGAUUUUGGAGGUUGUGCCCCUUGAGGCGUGGNUUCCGGAGCUAACGCGUUAAAUCGACCG
rnacentral:rRNA from 1 species